rnacentral:lncRNA from 10 species
UUGAAAGACCAACAAGGCCAAACCCUUGUUUGGUAAGCUGAGAUCUGCACUCCAACCUGGGCAACAGAGUGAGACUGCCCCCUCCAGUGCUGGGCUUUGGCCAUGCUGACCUUUCCUCUGUUCCAAGAAACAAGCCAAGGUCCUAGCACUAUAGCACUCCUUCUCUCUGGAAGGCUCCUUCCCUCCCAUUCCUAACCAACACUACCCUCCUUUAGGGCUUCUGUGAUUGCCACCUGCCCCAGAUCGCUCUAGUUCCCUGUGCAUCAUGGCUUCAUGCCACCUCGUCUUGCACCUGCAAAGCACUUACACAUUUCAUGAAGCCAGGGACCAUGUCUCUUUCUUUGGUAUCUCUAUCCUUCACUUUCUUAUUUUUAUAAAUUUAAGGGGUACAAGUGAAGCUUUGUUAUGUGGCUAUAUUGCAUAGUGAUAAAAUCCAGGCUUUUAGUGAAACCAUCCCCUGAAUAGUGUAGAUCAUGCCCAUUGAGUAAUUUCUUAUUCCUCACUCUCCUCACCCUCCCACCCUUCCCAGUUCCAAUGCCUAUUAUUCCACACUCUGUGUCCACGUGUACACUUUAUUUAGCUCCCACUUAUGUGAGAAUAUGUGGUAUUUGACUUUCUGUUUCUGAUCUGUUUCACUUAACAUAACAGCCUCCAGUUCCAUCCUUGUUGCUGCAAAACAUGAUUUUCUUCUUUCUUAUAGCUAAGUAGUAUUCCUACAUAUAUAUAUACACAUUUUUUUUAUCCAAUCAUCCAUUGAUGGACACUUAGAAUGAUUCCAUAUCUUUGUGAUUAGAUGCUCAGAAAUACUUGUUGAAACAUGGCUAAAUCAUACAUACCAGGCUCCUUCUUUAUUUCUCUCUCUCUCUCUCUCUCUCUCUCACCUCUGCCACUUUUAGCAACAGCUGCAUUCCAAGCAGGAAGACGGAGGUACAGGUUGAGUGUGUAUCCCUCGCCCAAAAUGUUUGGGACCAGAAGUGCUCUGAAUUUUGAUUGUUUUCAAGUUUUGAAAUAUAUGUAUUACACUUACUGGUUCAGCAUCCCUAACACAAAAAUCUGAAAUGCUCCAAUGAGCAUCUCUUUGAGCAUCACAUCAGCACUCAAAGCGUUUUGAAUUUUGGAGCAUUUUGGAUUUCGGAUUUUCUCACUAGGCAUGCUCAGCCUGUAUCAGAAGAGGCUCAGCCAAAGCCACUUCCCUGCCUUAAACUGAGCUCCAUGGCCAUUCUCAGCUAUGAGGGCUUGAUAAAGAUUAAGUUUUAUUUAUCUUUGCAGCCCCUACAGCAAGUAAAGAUGAGCAAAAAGAGGUUAAACUCAGAACUAAAAUGUCUAGAGCCACCUCCAUCUACCCCACUGCAAUGAAAACACAAGGACAUAAGCAUUUACUGCAGUAUUGUUCCCAGUGGCAAAAAGCUGGAACUCAAAUAAACGCCUAAUGACAGAGGAAUGAUGAAAGAAAUUCUGGCUCAUACACACCACAACCUAUUACACAGCCACUGAAAAGAAUGAAUUAGAGCCACAUUGAUGACUCUGGGAGAUUUCCAUGAGCAAUUACAGAGUAAAUGAAACCAAAUGCAGAAAAAAAAAGUCUGUUUUAUUAUCCCAUUUCUAACAAAAAUGAAGAAAAGCACUCUCUAACAUCUGUGCACAUACAUGCAGGUAAGCGCGAGUGAGCUGAAAAUUAUAGGCCACAUACUGUUAUCAUGAGUUACCUGUGCAGAAGGCAGAGAGAAAGUUUGGGAAAGGAAAGAGAAGAAGAAGAGCAAAGAACAAAAAGAAAAUUUUUGAAAAGAAAUGUUAUAAUAUGAUCCAUUAAUGUAUUAACUUAAAGAUAUAUGUGUGUUCAUAUGCACGAAGAGAAAACUUUAUAUGUUGUCUCUUCUUUUCUGUCUCUUAAAUCAGGCUUGCAAGACUUUGGCAAUUUCCCACUUGUUUUGAAUCCUCAGAAAAUAUCGUAUCUCCAGAAAGUAAACAAAAAUUGACCAGAUAGCAUUCCCUUAAUGCAGUUCCAGUGACUGUUCUGGAUAAGAAAACAACACUUCUACAUUCAAACCCCCAAUUGCCAUUUGAAUCUCAUCAAAUGAAAUUUUAGUUUUUCUUUCUAGCUUAUGUUUUUCCCUGGAGAAACAAGUCUAUAAAUGUUUAAAACUGGCACUACUUCUCAUAGUGAAUAAAAUAUUGUUGUGUAGAAAACUGGCUCCAGGAAAUUAAAAAUCAAUAUACUUUGAGAACUAAAAUAGGAUGGAAAAGUUGCUUUGUCCAGAUUGCAAUGGCCAGGCAAUGCAAAACAAAAGAAUUGCUAUUAUAAAAUGAGAAUUACAAGAGAGCAUUUUUCAGCUUUGUAUGAGAAAUGCAAUUGACCGAGUGAAAAAAAUUAACCCUGUUUGUGUUUCAUUCAAGUGGCCAUCUCUGCAACUUACUGCUAAUUUGCCUUCUUUGAAUUUACCAUUCCUGGUGGCAAAAUCAUUUGCUCAGAAUUGUUCUAGUAUUGCCCAGUCAUACUUUUCUAAUUAAGAUUCCUUGCUGAAUGUUCUAACUUUGACCUCAUUUCAAAGUUACUUUCAUUUUAAAGCUUGACUCAAGAUCUUCAAUUCUUAUAUCUUAAAAAUCUUAAAUGUUUUCUGUUUCUGUUAUUAACUAUACUAGGUUAGGGAUAUUUAAAAUAACAGCUGAUAAUAUGGUUUUUAAAAAUUGUGAGAAUGAUUGCUAAUGUCUGGCUCUCACUUUAUUAAGAGGACAUGGGAGCCUUUGAAAGAUGGCUUGCCUGUCUACCUAGGGCUGACCCCCAGGUCCAGAUUUGAGAGUCUGGGCUGGCUGACUGCUGGGUGGCUUUGGUAGAAGCUGGCUUGUCUUCUGGUUCCAUUUUUCUCUCCACCCCAGUAUCUUGGGUUACUCUGGAAAACUAUGCGAUGCCCAUGUGCGCACCCAGUUAAAGGGCAUUCGAGUCUUUGCCCGUAGAAAUUUCAUAAAUAGAAUAUGUAAUGAGCCAUGCAUGUCUUAUCGCUAAGGAAUCCAGGGGAAUCUGAAACUUGGAUGACAAAGUCUCUUAUGGGUCUUUCCUUCUCACACCACUUGAUACAGCACGACUAUCUUGAAGUCAGCCAGCGGCCUGCAGAGGCGGUCUUUCCAUCUGUUUCAGAAAACCCGGUGGCUUGUGCAACCUGGGAAACUUGCCCACAGCCAUCCCACGUGAUAAACUCAGAGCAGGAAGACAGCAAGGAAUAGCAGUGAAAAGCAUGGUGCUUAAUCCAACCCCUUACUCACUGCUGAGACCUGGAAAUGUGUUCAUCAGCUACAAAACAGGAGAGAUGAUAACUCAUUAUGUAUAUGUGAUGAUAAACAGAGACAAUAUAUUGAAGAGCUUAUAUGAGUGGCAGACACGGGACAUGCUUCCCUGUGGCUGGCCAGCGUGUCAUCUUCUCCAUGUGUCCAGAGAAAAGCUUUGCAAAUCAACCUCUCGAUGAAUGAUGACGGCACCAGUGAAAUCAGGGGAGGCAGAAAAUCAUGUUAGUUUGGUUUAUAAUGCAAGAAGUUACAGAACACAGAGUGCUCAAAACUAAGAAUGUGCUAGUUGUAUAACAGGGUCCUUCUUGGGACUCAGCCAGGAUUCAAACUAUAAAGGAAAAUCGGGUGAGCAGGUGGGAUAGUCAAGUGAUUCUAUUUGCAUGAAUAAUUUUGUGAGAUGAUACCUUCUUGUCCAGGAACAUUGAGCAGUGCUCGUGCUGGGUGGAUUGUGAUGUGGAAACCCUGGGAGAUGUCACGUCUGACAUCAACUUUCUCCCAGGUGACAGCUGCACCCUCUAAAGGCUUCUCAAAUGACAGAGCUCAAUGAAUAUAGAAGGGAAAAGUAUGAGGAUGACCUAUGAGCACAGGGUGGACAGUCUCUGCGGUGGGCAGGCAUUAGCAAAGGAGAGACCUUCUGUAUUAUGCAGGUAUGUGCAAGAACCAAAGAAAAUAACUGUCAUGAGAAUUCUGACCUCAUUAAUACCCACAGACUAGAGACACCAGGAAUCUAAGCUUGCAAAAGCAUAAGGGAACAUAAGGGUUGUGUUCUCUUGCCCUUGGGGCACAGCUUUUCACCACAUUUUGUACUAAUUUAACCAUGAUGCAGAUCGAAGAGCCCCAGUGAUUUCCCAAUAAAAUGCUCCAGUUGUAUAAAUUUGCUUGACCUUCAGUAGAUGCUCAUUCCCUAUGGUCCACAUCUACUGCAGGCUCACAUUCUGGACAGGGAGAAUCCUCCGCGUGACUGAAGCAAGAGGUCCCACAUGAUUUGCUUUUCGCCUGGCAUGGAGGCACUGUUUGCCCUGGUGACCAAGGGCACAUAGCCCUGUCUUUCCUCUGGCGGCCAUUGGAUUCAUACUCUGUUCUGAGAUAACUUUGUAUUAAUCAAGACCUCCUAACAUGUCUCUCUCUCUCUCUCUUUUUUUUUUUUUUUUUUUUUUUGAGACGGAGUCUCGCUCUGUCGCCCAGGCUGAGUGCAGUGGCACAAUCGCGGCUCAGGGCAAGCUCCGCCUCCUGGGUUCACCCCAUUCUCCUGCCCCAGCCUCCCAAAUAGCUAGGACUACAGGCGCCCGCCACCAUGCCCGGCUAAUUUUUUGUAUUUUUAGUGGAGACGGGGUUUCACCGUGUUAGCCAGGAUGGUUUCGAUCUCCCGACCUCGUGAUCCGCCCACCUCGGCCUCCCGAAGUGCUGGGAUUACAGGCGUGAGCCACCACGCCCGGCCACAUGUCUCUUUUUUGAAAAUGACAAGCAUGCUGUGAUGAGGUUCUCAAGAUCUGAUCACAGCUUUCUCUCAACAACGCACCAGGAUGUAGCGGUGCUCAGCUCUGCCUUCUUCUGUCCUGGCUUGGGUGCUGUGUUGAGACAGACACAGCAGCAAGCGAGCAAACCUCUUGCAGUCCUGUAGCCUUCCCCCUUUUCUUCUUCUCUGUCUGUCCCAUCCCCUUCUCUUUUCUUUCCCCUCAUCUCCAUUCUUUUCUUCCUUUCGUUCCUGUCACUGUUUUCUUCUUUGCUUUUGUUCUGUUUCCAGCUUUCAAAACACAUUUAUAAAGAGAGCUUCCUCUGAGCCAAAAGUAACAAAACUGUUUCACAUUCUUUAUCUGGUAGCAGGCUGCUGUCUAAAGGGCAUUGUAAACACUUCCCAGACUUUCCCUCAAUAAGGGGACUGCCUGAUUCUCAGUUACAGAAUGUCAUUAGCUCUAAUGCGUGCUGGUUUCCCUGCUAGAAAAUAGCAACUAACAUAAAUUAUAAAAUAUUAAAAUUAAUACCAAUAAACUGUCUUGUAUUUGCAACAUGAAUGAAUUGGGCUAUCAUCUCAUAAUUUUCAAGGACACAAAAAGCAAAAAUAACAUGCCUGAUUAAAUGAUGUUUUCCAAUAAUUUAUUAAUUUAAAAGUCACGUAGGCAGGCAGAAAGACUACGUUUCCCAGCCUCCUUUGCAGUUAGGUUGAGACCAUGUGACUGAGUUCCGGUUGAUGGGAAAUAGGUGAAAAUUACAUACUUCCAGGUGUGGGUUUUUUUGUUUGUUUGUUUGAUUUUUGGGGGUUUUUUGGGUUUUGUUUGUUUGUUUUUGACAGAGCCUUGCUCUGUUGCCCAGGCUGGAGGCUGGAGUGUAGUGGCAUGAUCUCGGCUCACUAUAACCUCCACCUCCCGGGUUCAAGCAAUUCUCCUGCCUCAACAUCCCAAGUAGCUUAGACUGCAGGCACACACCACCAUGCCUGGCUAAUUUUUGUAUUUUUAGUAGAGGCGGGGUUUCACCAUGUUGGCCAGCUGCUCUCGAACUCCUGACCUCAGGUGAUCUGCCUGCCUCAGCUUCCUAAAGUGCUGGGAUUAUGGGCAUGAGCCACUAUGCCCAGCCCAAGGGUGGUCUUUAA